GUCUGGUGCCAGCAGCCGCGGUAAUUCCAGCUCCAAUAGCGUAUAUUAAAGUUGUUGCAGUUAAAAAGCUCGUAGUUGAAUUUCGGGAUUGACGCGACGGUCGUGCCUUACGGGGUAUGAACUGUCGCAGUUGAUUUCUCACCUUCUGGAGAAGCUCGAUGUCCUUAAUGGAUGUCGCGUGACCAGACCGUUUU
rnacentral:rRNA from 1 species